GACGAACGCUGGCGGCGUGCUUAACACAUGCAAGUCGAACGGAAAGGCCCUGCUUGCAGGGUACUCGAGUGGCGAACGGGUGAGUAACACGUGGGUGAUCUGCCCUGCACUUCGGGAUAAGCCUGGGAAACUGGGUCUAAUACCGGAUAGGAGCCAUUUUUAGUGUGAUGGUUGGAAAGUUUUUUCGGUGUAGGAUGAGCUCGCGGCCUAUCAGCUUGUUGGUGGGGUAAUGGCCUACCAAGGCGGCGACGGGUAGCCGGCCUGAGAGGGUGGACGGCCACAUUGGGACUGAGAUACGGCCCAGACUCCUACGGGAGGCAGCAGUGGGGAAUAUUGCACAAUGGGCGCAAGCCUGAUGCAGCGACGCCGCGUGGGGGAUGACGGCCUUCGGGUUGUAAACUCCUUUCGCUAGGGACGAAGCGUGAGUGACGGUAAUGGGUAAAGAAGCACCGGCUAACUACGUG
rnacentral:rRNA from 1 species